AAUGGGCGAAAGCCUGACGCAGCGACGCCGCGUGGGUGAUGAAGGCCCUCGGGUUGUAAAGCCCUGUGGGGAGGAACGAACCGUUCGGGGGUGAAUAUCCUCCGGGCUUGACGGUACCUCCUUAGCAAGCAUCGGCUAACUCUGUGCCAGCAGCCGCGGUAAGACAGAGGAUGCGAACGUUGCUCGGAAUUACUGGGCGUAAAGCGCGCGCAGGUUGCCUUGUAAGUCGUGUGUGAAAUCCCUCUGCUCAACGGAGGAAGUGCACGGGAUACUGCAAGGCUGGAGUACAGAAGAGGACAGCGGAAUUCCCGGUGUAGAGGUGAAAUUCGUAGAUAUCGGGAGGAACACCAGUGGCGAAGGCGGCUGUCUGGGCUGAUACUGACACUGAGGCGCGAAAGCGUGGGAAGCAA
rnacentral:rRNA from 1 species